rnacentral:rRNA from 1 species
UACGAGGGGGGCAAGCGUUGUUCGGAAUUAUUGGGCGUAAAGGGUGCGUAGGCGGUUGGGUAAGUCUUGUGUGAAAUCUUCGGGCUCAACUCGAAGUCUGCACGAGAAACUGCCUGGCUUGAGUAUGGGAGAGGUGAGUGGAAUUUCCGGUGUAGCGGUGAAAUGCGUAGAUAUCGGAAGGAACACCUGUGGCGAAAGCGGCUCACUGGACCAUAACUGACGCUGAGGCACGAAAGCUAGGGGAGCAAACAGG